AACGAACGCUGGCGGCAUGCCUAACACAUGCAAGUCGAGCGAGACCUUCGGGUCUAGUGGCGCACGGGUGCGUAACGCGUGGGAACCUGCCCUUAGGUUCGGAAUAACUCCCCGAAAGGGGUGCUAAUACCGGAUAAUGUCUUCGGACCAAAGAUUUAUCGCCUUUGGAUGGGCCCGCGUUGGAUUAGCUAGUUGGUAGGGUAAAAGCCUACCAAGGCGACGAUCCAUAGCUGGUCUGAGAGGAUGAUCAGCCACACUGGGACUGAGACACGGCCCAGACUCCUACGGGAGGCAGCAGUGGGGAAUAGUGGACAAUGGGCGAAAGCCUGAUCCAGCAAUGCCGCGUGAGUGAUGAAGGCCUUAGGGUUGUAAAGCUCUUUUACCCGGGAUGAUAAUGACAGUACCGGGAGAAUAAGCUCCGGCUAACUCCGUG
rnacentral:rRNA from 1 species